GCCGGGUGUGGUGGUGCACAUCUGUAAUCCCAGCUACUCAGGAGGCUGAGACAGGAGAAUUGCUUGAACCCGGGAGGCAGAGGUUGCAGUGAGCUGAGAUCACGCCACUGGACUCCAGCCUGAGUGACAGAGCAAGACUUUGUCUCAA
rnacentral:SRP_RNA from 1 species